GUGCUGGCUUCAGCAGCACACAUACUGAAGUUGGAAUGAUACAGAGAAGAUUAGCAUGGCCCCUGCACUAGGAUGAAGCAUUCCAUAUUUUAAAAAUAUAUAUGAUU